UGGGGAAUAUUGCACAAUGGGCGCAAGCCUGAUGCAGCCAUGCCGCGUGUGUGAAGAAGGCCUUCGGGUUGUAAAGCACUUUCAGCGAGGAGGAAGGUGGUGGACUUAAUACGUUCAUCAAUUGACGUUACUCGCAGAAGAAGCACCGGCUAACUCCGUGCCAGCAGCCGCGGUAAUACGGAGGGUGCAAGCGUUAAUCGGAAUUACUGGGCGUAAAGCGCACGCAGGCGGUUUGUUAAGUCAGAUGUGAAAUCCCCGGGCUCAACCUGGGAACUGCAUUUGAAACUGGCAAGCUAGAGUCUCGUAGAGGGGGGUAGAAUUCCAGGUGUAGCGGUGAAAUGCGUAGAGAUCUGGAGGAAUACCGGUGGCGAAGGCGGCCCCCCUGGACGAAGACUGACGCUCAGGUGCGAAAAGCGUGGGGCAGCAAACAGGAUUAGAUACCCUGGUAGUCCACGCUGUAAAACGAUGUCGAUUUGGAGGUUGUGCCCUUGAGGCGUGGCUUCCGGAGCUAACGCGUUAAAUCGACCGCCUGGGGAGUACGG
rnacentral:rRNA from 1 species